rnacentral:RNase_P_RNA from 1 species
UUUGUGGUAAGGCGUCCGCUCGUUUUACGGAACGAGAGGAAAGUCCGGACACCGUAGGGCGAGGAUUCCCAACGAAAGUUGGGGGUGGGGGCGUCAAGACCCUCAAACGGACAGUGCCACAGAAAAGAAACCGCCCGCGUAUGCGGGUAAGGGUGAAAUGGUGAGGUAAGAGCUCACCGCGCUUGCAAGUAAUUGCGGCGGCGAGGAAAACACCAAUCCGGUGCAAGACAGAAUAGGAGAUCCGGCGGCCCGCCAUACGAUCUCGGGUUUGUCGCAUCCGCAAAUGCGGAAGUCGCUUGUCAAACACAAGUGGCUAGAUAAAUGGGCGCCGCGGCGAAAACGCCGUCACAGAAUCCGGCUUACCCCAAAUUUU